rnacentral:tRNA from 1 species
GGGUUGCUAGCUCAACUGGCUAGAGCAUCCGGCUUUUAACCGGAAGGUUUCGAGUUCGAAUCUCGGGCGACCCACCA